ensembl:lncRNA
GCGCUCAGAGACCGCCGGCCGCGUGCUCCGCCGCCCAGGCCCCCGCGGGAUUUGUUGAUUGGGACUCUCAGCACUGCUGUUGGAAACCUUACAGACGCAAAUGUUCUGGACCUGUUCUUAUAUCCAGGAUUGAAUCACCAUCUCCACUAUUCAGCUUCCUCUAAAUUCCCUUUAGAUCAGAGAUUCUCAGCCUUUUUUUGUGUCCUGAGCCCCUUUCGGCAGUCUGGGGAAGCCUAUGUACCCCUUCUCAGAAUAAUGUCUUUAAAUGCCUAAAAGAAAUACAUAGGAUUACAAAGGAAACCAUUUAUAUUAAAACAGUAUAAACAUGGUUAUUAUGGUUUAAAUUUAUAUGAAAACAUUAAAAAAACCAAGAUCAAGGUAAGAGCCCCUGUUUUAGAUAAAAAGAUAAAACUCUCAGGAAAUCCCUCUCUUUGGUUCAAAGUAUUUGUGUGACAAUAAAACAAAUACAGAGGACCA